ACACGUGGAUAACCUACCUAUAAGACUGGGAUAACUUCGGGAAACCGGAGCUAAUACCGGAUAAUAUUUUGAACCGCAUGGUUCAAAAGUGAAAGACGGUCUUGCUGUCACUUAUAGAUGGAUCCGCGCUGCAUUAGCUAGUUGGUAAGGUAACGGCUUACCAAGGCAACGAUGCAUAGCCGACCUGAGAGGGUGAUCGGCCACACUGGAACUGAGACACGGUCCAGACUCCUACGGGAGGCAGCAGUAGGGAAUCUUCCGCAAUGGGCGAAAGCCUGACGGAGCAACGCCGCGUGAGUGAUGAAGGUCUUCGGAUCGUAAAACUCUGUUAUUAGGGAAGAACAUAUGUGUAAGUAACUGUGCACAUCUUGACGGUACCUAAUCAGAAAGCCACGGCUAACUACGUGCCAGCAGCCGCGGUAAUACGUAGGUGGCAAGCGUUAUCCGGAAUUAUUGGGCGUAAAGCGCGCGUAGGCGGUUUUUUAAGUCUGAUGUGAAAGCCCACGGCUCAACCGUGGAGGGUCAUUGGAAACUGGAAAACUUGAGUGCAGAAGAGGAAAGUGGAAUUCCAUGUGUAGCGGUGAAAUGCGCAGAGAUAUGGAGGAACACCAGUGGCGAAGGCGACUUUCUGGUCUGUAACUGACGCUGAUGUGCGAAAGCGUGGGGAUCAAACAG
rnacentral:rRNA from 1 species